GGCCUCUUUGAAGGAAAAAGAAGUUUGAAGACGAACCGCGGGCAGCAGGACUCCCCCACGUCCUCCGCUCAGUAAAGCGGGCUGUCUUCACUGUCUCUUUAAACUCCUUCACCGCGAAGUCGGGUUUUGCUUCGAUAUUUUUGAAUGUCAAAGUAAAGGACCGUUUUUAAUUUUCGUGUUUUGAGGGUCUGGCGGUCAGAGGACUGAAUUAACGCCCGGUUCAUGGUUUUCCAGCGCUCGGCUGUGCAUCCUGCCCGGGAAGAGGUUUCCAUAACACCGUGGGACUUUGCAACAAAUUCGUUUACGAAAAAAAAACGUAUACGGAACUGCAAUCUGGAAGUAUUUCUCUUUCGUAAUCUGCGUUUCAGUCGCUGGACUUUUGCAACUUUUAACUUGAAAUGGUUGACAGGUUGAACUUGUCAAAUGUAUGUGAAGGAGAUCCACUGAAUAUGAGCUGCAGGGUAGAUAGAGGACUUGACAGCCCGGAUUCCGGGUUACCCCCGAGUCCGAGCCCCAGCGCCUGGCUGCUGCCUGUGUGCGCAGAUAAAGCCGGGGGCGUGAGCCCGGUGUCUGAAGACGAGGGCAGGGGCUCCCUGGUUCCAGUUUUACCUACUGGAUCUUUCCAGCAGCUACACCCAUUGUCCUUUGGGGAGGGCAUAGCGCUUGAUCCAUUACCGUCGAAGGAAAUAAGAUACACCUCAGCCGUGCACUACGACUCGGACCGCCAUUUCAUCCAGGGUGUGGCCCUGUUGCCUACGGGCCGGGGCCUUGAACACUGCAGGCAGACCAUCAUGGCCAUGCCCCACACAACCUGGCGCCACUACAAGACACAACUGGAGUUCCAGCCUCGCCAUCGGCCUCAGCACUUCAAGAGCACCACCAUCGUCUACCCCAAGAAAACCAGCGCCCUCUACACCACGGAGCUGAGCUACAAUUGCCACCGACUCUCCAAACGUUUCCUCUCCAGCGUGGAGCUGGAGGCUGCUGGUCGCGGAGAGCUACCUCAGUGAGGGAGGGGACAGGUGUCUGUGGACACACAUCCCCAAUACCGUAGCUCCCCCAAGGCUGGCUGCCAUUUGACCUGCUGUGUUGUCUUUUUACACUUGUGUUGCCUGUUAUUUUUUGUAAGUAUUUUUCAUAAGCUGUGGACAGCAAGUACCUCUGCUGUGAUGUUACAGAUAUCAGCGGGGACAAGACAUGGACAAAGUGGGUACAAUAUCCAGUCAGUUCACGUUUUAAGUUUUUUUUAAAUUCCUGCCAAAGGAGGAUCAAUCAGUUGGAAUUGAUCUUUAAUUAAAUGCUUCACUUUGCGGAGUGUUGGUUUUUAGAGGCAUGCUCAUGUUUUUGGUUUUACUGGCUGUAGUAUUGGCUCAUCUGGAGAUGAGGAGAAUAGGCAUUUUCCCUCAGCAGAGGAACUCUCCUCGUGUUGCAUCAAGUUGGUCAAGUAAACCGUGUGAUUGGUUUAAAAUUUGAACAAUGAGGCCUGCCUCAGUUCAAGGAAUUUGUAAUCAUAGUGAGAAUUUCUUUUAAAACUACUAACUGAGAUUAUGGUUCGAAGAAACUCUUAUGCAAGGCAGAGGAAAGAAAAAUGAAAUGUGGAUUUGGUGUAUGCUAUGAAAUCACUAAUGUAUCCACACUGUACAAAGAAAAUAGUAAAAAUAUGUAACGCAUGUUUGUUCACAGGGUAUUAUGUGUUUCUGCACAACACAGACACAAGAUAAGCUCUUCUAAGUCUCCUCUGCCCACUGUGUAUAGCUGCGAUUCAUAAUGUAUUAUCAAAAUAUUGGUAGAUUAAGGGAACUUUUCUGUUUGUUGGGAUGUGUAAAACUGAUUUAAGUAUGUAGUAUAGAUAGAUCAUAAGUGUGGAGUUUACUGAACAGUAGAUAUUAUUUUUGAUAUCAGUCACUGGCUAACUAGUGAAAAUAACAAGCUGCAUUCCACUGCCACCGCUUCCUUUGGCUCGACUUGGUUUGAAAUUGUAUUUAUAAUGUUGGAAUUUAAGGUGCUGAGAUUUUAUCACUUGUUUAACGGGUCUCUCCACAGUCAUGGGAUGGGAUAUUUUAGUGUUUCCCUUUGUGCCUUAUUAAUGUGUGUUGAUGCUUGUUUUUGAUAUUAGUCACUAAUUCAAUGUCAGUUUGAAAUAAAGUGUUCAUAAUUUCAACAAUUUUAUUUUGUAUGAGGAGGGGGGCCUACAAAAUCACAAAUACACUAACAAACAUUGACCACAGGAAUGGCAUGAAUAAAGAAGCUGUUGGUUUGUGGGUGAU